CCUACGGGAGGCAGCAGUGGGGAAUAUUGGGCAAUGGGCGCAAGCCUGACCCAGCAACGCCGCGUGAAGGAAGAAGGCUUUCGGGUUGUAAACUUCUUUUGUCAGGGACGAGUAGAAGACGGUACCUGCCGAAUUAGCCACGGCUAACUACGUGCCAGCAGCCGCGGUAAUACGUAGGUGGCAAGCGUUGUCCGGAUUUACUGGGUGGAAAGGGCGUGUAGCCGGGUUGACAAGUCAGAUGGGAAAUCCUGCGGCUUAACCGCAGAACUGCAUUUGAAACUGUUGAUCUUGAGUACUGGAGAGGCAGACGGAAUUCCUGGUGUAGCGGUGAAAUGCGUAGAUAUAAGGAGGAACACCAGUGGCGAAGGCGGUCUGCUGGACAGCAACUGACGGUGAGGCGCGAAAGCGUGGGGAGCAAACAGGAUUAGAUACCCUUGUAGUC
rnacentral:rRNA from 1 species